AUUGAACGCUGGCGGCAGGCCUAACACAUGCAAGUCGAACGAGUGGCGGACGGGUGAGUAAUGUCUGGGAAACUGCCUGAUGGAGGGGUAUAACUACUGGAAACGGUAGCUAAUACCGCAUACCAUCGGAUGUGCCACGAUGGGAUUAGCUAGUAGGUGGGGUAAAGGCACAUCUAGGCGACGAUCCCUAGCUGGUCUGAGAGGAUGACGAGCCACACUGGAACUGAGACACGGUCCAUACUCCGACGGGAGGCAGCAGUGGGGAAUAUUGCACAAGGGGCGCAAGCCUGAUGCAGCCAUGCCGCGUGGGUGAAGAAGGCUUUCGGGUUGUAAAGCACUGGCAGCGAGGAGGCGUGACUCGCAGAAGAAGCACCGGCUAACUCCGUGCCAGCAGCCGCGGUAAGUC
rnacentral:rRNA from 1 species